rnacentral:rRNA from 1 species
AGAGUCUGAUCCUUGGCUCAGAACGAACGCUGGCGGCGUGCUUAAUACAUGCAAGUCGUGCGACAGAGUCACCUGUCAGGGUGGUGAGUAAUGCGGUGAACGGGUGAGUAACACGUAAGAAAGCUGCCCCUAAAUCCGGAAUAACAUUGCUCACGCGGUGCUACUACCGGAUGUGGUCUCCAGCUAUGCAUGAACAGCGAGAUCAAAGGUGACCUCUACUUGUAAGUUAUCGUUCAGGGAUGGUCUUGCGGGACCAUUAGCUCGGUCGCGACUGGUGUAACGGUCCACCACCGCUGACCAUGAGUUACCCGGCUUACGAGGGUGAUCGGCCACAUCGGCACUGAGAUACGGGCCAGACUCCUACGGGAGGCAGCAGUAGGGAAUUUUGCGCUAUGGACUAAGGUCUGACGCAGCAACGCCGUUGACCGAUGAAGGUUUUCGGAAGUAAAGCUCUGUUGAGUGGAAGAAAACUCUCCGGGAUAAUACCCCGGAGACUUGACGGUACCACUCUAGGAAACCCCGGCUAA